rnacentral:rRNA from 1 species
GACGAACGCUGGCGGCGUGCUUAACACAUGCCAGUCGAACGGAAAGGCCCUGCUUUUGUGGGGUGCUCGAGUGGCGAACGGGUGAGUAACACGUGAGUAACCUGCCCUUGACUUUGGGAUAACUUCAGGAAACUGGGGCUAAUACCGGAUAGGAGCUCCUGCUGCAUGGUGGGGGUUGGAAAGUUUCGGCGGUUGGGGAUGGACUCGCGGCUUAUCAGCUUGUUGGUGGGGUAGUGGCUUACCAAGGCUUUGACGGGUAGCCGGCCUGAGCGGGUGACCGGCCACAUUGGGACUGAGAUACGGCCCAGACUCCUGCGGGAGGCAGCAGUGGGGAAUAUUGCACAAUGGGCGGAAGCCUGAUGCAGCAACGCCGCGUGCGGGAUGACGGCAUUCGGGUUGUAAACCGCUUUCGCCUGUGACGAAGCGUGAGUGACGGUAAUGGGUAAAGAAGCACCGGCUAACUACGUG